rnacentral:tRNA from 1 species
GGGGGGUAGCCCGGCCCGGGGCCGGCGCGGCCUUGAAAACCGAGGGCGCCCGCGAGGGCGCGGCGUUCGACUCGCCUGCCCCCCGCCA